GAUGAACGCUGGCGGCGUGCCUAAUACAUGCAAGUCGAGCGAACGGACGAGAAGCUUGCUUCUCUGAUGUUAGCGGCGGACGGGUGAGUAACACGUGGAUAACCUACCUAUAAGACUGGGAUAACUUCGGGAAACCGGAGCUAAUACCGGAUAAUAUUUUGAACCGCAUGGUUCAAAAGUGAAAGACGGUUUUGCUGUCACUUAUAGAUGGAUCCGCGCUGCAUUAGCUAGUUGGUAAGGUAACGGCUUACCAAGGCAACGAUGCAUAGCCGACCUGAGAGGGUGAUCGGCCACACUGGAACUGAGACACGGUCCAGACUCCUACGGGAGGCAGCAGUAGGGAAUCUUCCGCAAUGGGCGAAAGCCUGACGGAGCAACGCCGCGUGAGUGAUGAAGGUCUUCGGAUCGUAAAACUCUGCUAUUAGGGAAGAACAUAAGUGUAAGUAACUGUGCACAUCUUGACGGUACCUAAUCAGAAAGCCACGGCUAACUACGUG
rnacentral:rRNA from 1 species